UUUUAACAAUACUUUCAGUGAAAUAAUUAAUAUUUUUUAACUUGUAGUUAAUACGAAAUAAAUUAAUUAACCCGUUUUAAUAACUGAAUUAUACGUAUUGAAAUUGUAAUAAAAUAACAUAACCAAACAAAAUAAUAACUCAAAUUAAUCGUAUUUAAGAUUACUGAAGUUCUCGGAUAAGGAAACUUGGACUCUUCAAAAUGAAUCGGUAACAAAGAUUCUUGAUUGGAUUGGAAUAAUUCUUCGGAAUGGUAUACUGGAUUAAUUGGAUCAGGAACCGGUUAAUUUUCUUGUUUAUUAUUAAAGAUUUCAACGUCCAGCUUCAAAAAUACAUUCAAAUAUUUAAUCUACGGAUUUUCGUCCAAUUCUUCAUCAAAACUCCCAUAUGAUGGAUGGUUUUCGUUCUUGACAUGCUAAGAUUAUCGUUUUCAAUAGUUUCAACCCGACAAACAUGAAUUACAAUAAGGAAUUAAUGAAAAAUGAAAUUUGAGGUUAUGUUACUGUCAAAAUUCUACAAAAUUACUUCGUAUGGAUUAAAUACAAUAAAAAACUAAUGAAUUUUAACAUA